GACGAACGCUGGCGGCGUGCUUCACACAUGCAAGUCGAGCGGAGCGGCGAACGGGUGAGUAACGCGUGAGUAACUGCCCCCCUCUAUGGGAUAACAGUUGGAAACGGCUGCUAAUACCGGACAGUGGGGGUUGACUCGUGUCCUAUCAUAGUGUUGGUGGGGUAGUGGCCUACCAAGGCGACGACGGGUAGCAGGCCUGAGAGGGCGACCGGCCACAUUGGGCUGGGCUACCGCCCAGACUCCUACGGGAGGCAGCAGGGGGGAAUAUUGCACAAUGGGCGAAAGCCUGAUGCAGCGACGCGCGUGGGGGAUUAAGGCUUUCGGGUUGUAAACCUCUUUCGCUAUCGAACGGGUAGGUGGAGAAGAAGCGCCGGCUAACUACGUGCCAGCAGCCGCGGUAAUUC
rnacentral:rRNA from 1 species